AGGACGAACGCUGGCGGCGUGCUUAACACAUGCAAGUCGAGCGGAAAGGCCCUUCGGGGUACUCGAGCGGCGAACGGGUGAGUAACACGUGAGCAACCUGCCCUUAGCUCUGGGAUAGCUCCGGGAAACCGGAAUUAAUACCGGAUAUUACACCGGCUGGCAUCGGCUGGUGUAGGAAAGAUUUAUCGGCUAAGGAUGGACUCGCGGCCUAUCAGUCUUGGUUGGUGGGUAGAAGCCUACCAAGGCGACGACGGGUA
rnacentral:rRNA from 1 species